AUUGAACGCUGGCGGCAUGCUUUACACAUGCAAGUCGAACGGUAACAGGCCGCAAGGUGCUGACGAGUGGCGAACGGGUGAGUAAUGCAUCGGAACGUGCCCAGUCGUGGGGGAUAACUACUCGAAAGAGUAGCUAAUACCGCAUACGAUCUAUGGAUGAAAGCGGGGGACCGUAAGGCCUCGCGCGAUUGGAGCGGCCGAUGUCAGAUUAGGUAGUUGGUGGGGUAAAGGCUCACCAAGCCAACGAUCUGUAGCUGGUCUGAGAGGACGACCAGCCACACUGGGACUGAGACACGGCCCAGACUCCUACGGGAGGCAGCAGUGGGGAAUUUUGGACAAUGGGCGCACGCCUGAUCCAGCAAUGCCGCGUGCAGGAAGAAGGCCUUCGGGUUGUAAACUGCUUUUGUACGGAACGAAACGGCUCUGGUUAAUACCCGGGGCUAAUGACGGUACCGUAAGAAUAAGCACCGGCUAACUACGUG
rnacentral:rRNA from 1 species